rnacentral:rRNA from 1 species
UACGGAGGGUGCAAGCGUUAUCCGGAUUCACUGGGUUUAAAGGGUGCGUAGGUGGGUUGAUAAGUCAGUGGUGAAAUCCCCGAGCUUAACUUGGGAACUGCCAUUGAUACUAUUGAUCUUGAAUACCGUGGAGGUCAGCGGAAUAUGUCAUGUAGCGGUGAAAUGCUUAGAUAUGACAUAGAACACCAAUUGCGAAGGCAGCUUACUACACAAUGAUUGACGCUGAGGCACGAAAGCGUGGGGAUCAAACAGG